CAACUAUUGCAACAAGCAUGACUCAAUACCUUGUUUCCGAAGCACACAAACAAGUUACAAUAACACUAAUAUAAGCACCAUUUAAAUAUGGAGAUUUUUUUUUUCUAGUUAAAUCAGUGUAUGUAUGUAUUUGCAACACAGUAAAUUAAAUUUCCCUUAACAGCUUAAUGAACAUUACAAAGACUAUGUAAGACUUCAGUACAAGCAAAAUAAUAUAAACUGUUGCUUAAAAUUAUAUUUAUUGCUUCAUACACACAAUGUACAUACAAUGUAUCUUUUAUUUUUUAACAGGAGCUAAAAGAAAAGCCACAAAGGACAAGUUUAAUAUGCAGGUUUACAAUUUGGAAGUGGCACAGGUUCUUUGGAAUGUCUACAACCUUUCAGGAGAAUUUUUUUUUGAAAAGCAUGGCACAGCAAGAAAAAGAUAUAAGACACUACAAGACAUUCCAAGUGAUUUUGAAUAAGACAAUUGAUUGACUUUUUCAAUGUAUUCUUAAAUAAAUCAAAUAGUUGAUGUAAAA